UCGAGCGGAUGAGUGGAGCUUGCUCCAUGAUUCAGCGGCGGACGGGUGAGUAAUGCCUAGGAAUCUGCCUGGUAGUGGGGGACAACGUUUCGAAAGGAACGCUAAUACCGCAUACGUCCUACGGGAGAAAGUGGGGGAUCUUCGGACCUCACGCUAUCAGAUGAGCCUAGGUCGGAUUAGCUAGUUGGUGAGGUAAAGGCUCACCAAGGCGACGAUCCGUAACUGGUCUGAGAGGAUGAUCAGUCACACUGGAACUGAGACACGGUCCAGACUCCUACGGGAGGCAGCAGUGGGGAAUAUUGGACAAUGGGCGAAAGCCUGAUCCAGCCAUGCCGCGUGUGUGAAGAAGGUCUUCGGAUUGUAAAGCACUUUAAGUUGGGAGGAAGGGCAGUAAGUUAAUACCUUGCUGUUUUGACGUUACCAACAGAAUAAGCACCGGCUAACUUCGUG
rnacentral:rRNA from 1 species